UAUUUAAGUAGUUUAAUAAAAAUAAUGAUUUGUGAUGUCAUUGAUAUAGAGAUAUCUUAAAUAA
rnacentral:tRNA from 1 species